rnacentral:rRNA from 1 species
CAGCAGCCGCGGGAAUACGGAGGGUGCAAGCGUUAAUCGGAAUUACUGGGCGUAAAGCGCACGCAGGCGGUCUGUCAAGUCAGAUGUGAAAUCCCCGGGCUUAACCUGGGAACUGCAUUUGAAACUGGCAGGCUAGAGUCUUGUAGAGGGGGGUAGAAUUCCAGGUGUAGCGGUGAAAUGCGUAGAGAUCUGGAGGAAUACCGGUGGCGAAGGCGGCCCCCUGGACAAAGACUGACGCUCAGGUGCGAAAGCGUGGGGAGCAAACAGGAUUAGAUACCCCAGUAGUCCCUGUCUCUUAUAC